rnacentral:sRNA from 1 species
AUGAGCAUAUUUCGAAAUCCUGUCAACAACCACCCAGAUGACUGACUUCCCUUUGCAAGGAGGCAAUCCAACAAUAAAGUCCAUAGAAAUAUCUGCUCAUGUUUGAGAUGGAAUAGGUAAAGGUUGUAAAAAACCUGGAGGCGACAAGGUCUCAUAUUUGUUCCUUGGACAAAUUGAGCAAGCUGCAACUCUUUCCUUAAUAUCCUUUUUCAUUCCUUCCCAAUAAAACGAUCGAGUGAUCCUCUUAUAUGUCUUUAAAAACCCCUCAUGUCCUGCAGUUGGGCUUGAGUGGUGUUCAUUGAAAAUUUGAUCUCUCCAAGAGCUAGUGGGGCUUAGUACAAUCCCCCCUUAUACUUCAAGAUACCAUUGUCAAACUGAAAUUUAUAAUUUGCAAUAGGAAUUGCAUCAUUGUCCACUGAACAGACCAAUUGUUUCUUAGAAAUCACCCAAGGAUCUCCCUCACUAUGCCUGUGAAGAUCAUCUAUCCAUGUAGAGUAUGGAUAUGAAAUUGCAGUCAAUUGAACUUCUUCUAACAACUGUAGGGGUGAAGAAGGGUUAAGCUUCUCACAUUAAGAGUUGUAGGUUUAUUCUCAUGCAUAACAUUGGAAUUCAAUGUUUGUAAAGGUGAACGAAAAGUGGACUGAACUGCAGAAUUCUUAGGGAAAGAUUUCACCUUUAAGUCGGCUAAUUUGGUAUCCAGCUGCUGUGUAAUGGUCGAAGCUUC